rnacentral:rRNA from 1 species
UACAGAGGCCUCGAGCGUUAGGCGGAAUCACUGGGCUUAAAGCGUGUGUAGGCGGAUUGGUAAGUACCUUGUGAAAUCCCACAGCUUAACUGUGGAACUGCUCGGUAUACUGCUGAUCUUGAGCCACUCAGGGGCUACCGGAACAAAUGGUGGAGCGGUGAAAUGCGUAGAUAUCAUGUGGAACGCCAAUGGUGAAAACAGGUAGCUGGGGGUGUGCUGACGCUGAGGCGCGAAAGCUAGGGGAGCGAACGGG